GAUGAACGCUGGCGGCGUGCCUAAUACAUGCAAGUCGAGCGAACAGACGAGGAGCUUGCUCCUCUGACGUUAGCGGCGGACGGGUGAGUAACACGUGGAUAACCUACCUAUAAGACUGGGAUAACUUCGGGAAACCGGAGCUAAUACCGGAUAAUAUAUUGAACCGCAUGGUUCAAUAGUGAAAGACGGUUUUGCUGUCACUUAUAGAUGGAUCCGCGCCGCAUUAGCUAGUUGGUAAGGUAACGGCUUACCAAGGCGACGAUGCGUAGCCGACCUGAGAGGGUGAUCGGCCACACUAGAACUGAGACACGUUCCAGACUCCAACGGGAGGCAGCAGUAGGGAAUCUUCCGCAAUGGGAGAAAGCCUGACGGAGCAACGCCGCGUGAGUGAUGAAGGUCUUCGGAUCGUAAAACUCUGUUAUUAGGGAAGAACAAAUGUGUAAGUAACUAUGCACGUCUUGACGGUACCUAAUCAGAAAGCCACGGCUAACUACGUG
rnacentral:rRNA from 1 species